AUGACGUUGCACGAGGACGCAUGACCGCUGAGAACGCAUAUAGAAACACAGCCCAGUGUUUGGAUGAUAAAAUGCCUUGAUUGCCUUCAACUGCUUUUACAGCACAAUAAACGUUGAAUUGUUUCCUGCGUUUAUGUUUACAUUUACGUUAGCUGGUAAAUUAAACAGCAAGUUUUUAAUGAGUAUGAGUUAAUAAAUGUGUUGUUAAAGCUGAGAUGGUUCUCGGGAUACAUUUGGCUGGGGUUUUAAGAUGUGUUGGCACCAGAACGAGUGUGAACUUACGGCGACUGUUCAACUCUCAUGACGGAGGACGCGAAUCUAUAAAGGUGCUGUAUGAUGGAAAAUGCCCAAUUUGUGUUAAGGAAAUUAGCUUUCUUCAGUUUCUUCAAAGAAAAAGAGCAGACAAAGUGGAUUUUGUAGACAUCUCACUGGCAGAAUAUGACGAGAGCAAAUAUGGAGUCAGUUAUGAGAUGGCAAUGAAGGAAAUGACAGUGAUCGACAAGAAUAACAAGAUUCACCAUGGUGUGCCAGCAUUUACAGUGAUGUACAGCGCGGUUGGUUUGGGUUGGCUUGGCAGAUUCCUGUCUUUUCCACUGAUUAGGCCUGUAGUGGAUCAAGCCUAUGGGGUGUUUGCACGGAAUAGACUGAAGUGGACAGGCAGAGAGAACUGCACCACUGGACGCUGUGUUAAAAAAGAGACAUAAGGGACAGAGAACUUUGCAAUGGCCUUCACACUGUGUAUGCAUUGUUAGCAACAAGCACAGACUGAUUAUUUUGCUUCAUAAAAUCUCAUUGUAUCACAUGGAGCCAUGUAUAUUUAUUUAUUAUUUGAUUUUGCCCUUAUAUAUUUUGUUUACUCUAAAAGCGCCGGUACCAUUUGAGAAGGAGCAAGGACCACCGUUUCAUUAAUAGAAUUCAUUCAAUUGAAUGCUCUAUUGAGGGAAAAGUGAAUCAUGUCAUUAACAGAAUUAACAGAUCAUUAUUUUUUUGAGUGAACAAUUUCUUUAAUGUCAUAAAGUUAGAACUAUAAUGUUUUCUAUUAUUAAGUUGUCAUAUAUAUAUAAAUAUGUAUAUACACACACUUUUUAAGUAUUUAAAUAAACUUUACAUUUAAAUAGACUUUAAAUAAAUUAUAUUUAAAUAAACAUUAAUGACUAAAUAACUGUUUAUAGGCUAAAUUAUUUACACCGAGUAAUAACGUCACUAUUGACAUUUUGAACAUCUCUGAGAGGGGCGCUUUUUCUAAUUUUAGAUGCCUCCUGACUAGUCAUCAACUUUUAGGAUGUGGUAGGACAGGUUGUGCUUUAAUGAGGAAUGGCCAGGGGUUUGGUAAGUGCUGCUUUAAACUGGCCAAUAGGCUUUGUACCUCGGUAGGGCGGGAUUAAAAAUCACAACAGAAGGAAGUGUAAACACCACAAGAAGUAAUGCAUAAGAAUACACGAGCAAUAUAAGUGUUAUGGAAAGAAACUGAGCAUUAUUUAUAACUUUGAAGUCAAGUUCAGGAGCAGAGGAGAAAGUUAAAGGUAAGACAAACUAUCUUUAUUUAGCCAGAGAGUUAGAAGUCAACUUCAAGGUUACAUAUGGUUUGAUGAAUUGGAUUUAUACUUGACCUUCUAUCUUAAUAGAAAAUAUAGCAAUGUAUUAAAAAUGUACAGUCUAUUUUUAAAAGUAUUUUUAGUGUUGUAGUUGCCUAAAAGCAUACAACUAACAACAUUUUAUGACCUGGAAUUAAAUAAACUUUAAAUAAAAUGAAAAUAUAUACUCAUCAGCUAUAGUUAUAGCUAGUUGGCAAGGAAAUCUGUCUAAUUUUCAUUUGGUAUAAUUUUAAAAUAAAAUGAAUAUUAAUGUUAACUAAAAUUCAAUUAAACUAUAUAGACAUUUAAAAACACUUAUUACAAUACAUAUAAAAUUAGAACGAGUUAAUACAAGCUACAAGUGUGAUAAAUUAUUUUUGUUUUGCAUUUUUUAAAGAUCUCUUUACAACUUAAUGACAUGUUUCUAUCAGUAUUAAAUGUAACACUGCAUAAAAGUCUGAUUUCCUAAUGUUAAUAGAAAUGCACAUCCUCAAACAAACAAAAAAACGUACUUUAUUGGAUAUUGACGGUAUCUUCAAAUGCAGUUAUAAAUAAAUGCUCAUUAGCAAGUGUAAUUAGCCAAUGCUUGCAAAUAAUAUUAGGGCUCAACAUUAUCUACUACAAAAAUAUGUUUCACAUUUAAUUAGUGUGGUUAUAAUUUAUAAUUUAAUGAUUUGCCUGCAAUAUUUACUGAAGUUUGUAUAGAAUUUUCAGCUGCCACAUGCCAACCUUGUCACGAUACAUUAAAAGUUAAUAUUUUACAAACUAAACAAAUUGUAAGGAAGAGGGCAGUCAUUGGUUUAAUGGUAGUUUUUUUAUGAUAUAUGCAAUUUUAAAUGGAGGACUAGGCUAGAGGAUUUCACGUGACCAAGUGAAGCACGUGGAAACAUGUUGUGUAUCUGUGUGUACACAAUGUGACCGUCUGUGUCAGUCCUCAGACCACAACAAAGACAAGAGGCAAAGAGUUUUUCCUCUGUCUGCCAUGUGUCCAACGCUAUAAAUAUCAAAAGAGUUCUGGUGCUUCAUGGAACUACAAAACGGUAUUUUUCUGACCUAUGUUGACAGUUUCGUGUCUCACAGUUCUAAGCAUAGAUUAUCUUGUUCACAGAAUGGCUUGACAUUCUGUCAUAUUACAAUAUUACUGUCAGUUGGAUACCAUGUGAAUUGAAUUGACUCUGACUUUAUAUAAUAUUUAUGCUAUUUAUUAGAUUUGUUGAGAACAUUAUUAUUAGAAAACUAAUUUGACAGUUUUUUAGAGGAUAAUUUGCAAAUCCAUUAUUAACGCCAUAAAAUGUGACAAUAAUUACAUUAUGAAAUGAGUCAAUAAAUAAAAGAGACAUGUAUACAUUUUAAUGUUUUUUUUUUAAUAAUAAAUUAUUUACGUCAUUAUGUAUUUUAGGAUGAAAAUGGGUUUUAGUAAUUUAAUACAGCUUUACAUUAUAAUUAGCUAAUUAAUUAUUCAAUCAUAAUAUAUUAUUUGUGCAUUAAAAAUACUCUUUUCUUAUUUAUUAAUAUGUUUAAUGGGAAAAAUAUGAAUAUUAUUUACCAUAAGAAGAUAUCAUUAAAAUUUGAGUCAGGGUAACAUGUUUAUUGACCAAAAAAUCCUAUCAGGCAUAUCCAAAAAUCUUUGUUUGAGAUGUUCAAAGACAAAAAAAUUAUCAUUUGAAAUCUUUAUUUUAUUUUAAACCACUAGUAUUUUUCAAUUUGUCAGUAAUAUAUUUUAGUAAUUCAAAUUCAAAUACAAAUUAGUGUGAUCACUUCCCCUUCUACAUAUUUCUAUAAGGCUACACGCUAUGUUGUUUCAUGUUUGCAUAAAUAUAUGUUAUACAGAACAACAGUGUAACAUUAUUUCUCCCAUAUUUUUUGCAUUUUAUUAUCAAAAAAAUAUUUAAACCAUCAAAGUAAACACUUUCCAUUAAUAUUUUUCCAUGUAUACAAAACCAUAUUUAUUCAAUUAAUUUGGAGACCAAAAUAGGACAGCUCAUCUUCAUAUAACCAGCAGGGGGCGCCCAAACAUAAAUCAACAUUAAACACUUUUGGGUCCAUAUGCAGUAGUCAAUAUUUGAAGUGGUUCAAAACCUUUCAUUUAAAUUGUCCCAAAACUAUUGAACAACACCCAUUCUUGUUCUUAGGUUCUAAAAAACUAUUCUGAUCCACUUCAAAAGUUAACUUCUGUAGACUUACCUGUUUGUAGAAUUUAACCUAAUAUUUUCCUUAAAUUUUUUAAGGACCGAAAAUCAAUGAAUAAAUGUAAAAUACACCUUUUCUCUAGUGCUCAAUUUUGUUUUCAUGUUUAUAUAGACAUCCCGCGACUGUGAUUUUUUUGCCAAAGCUUAUCUCCUUCUCAUUCAGAUCAUCUACUCUGGACUUUGUUGUUUUUGUCUCCUCACCCAUGGAUUGGUACGUCAUCAAAACUAGAGUCUCUCACCUGGGCUCAAGAAAACUCCAGUUACUGUGUAAAGUGAAAUAUUUACUCACAAACAUAAGAAAUGUACCUCACUUUGUCAGGAGGCCUCAUAGGUCAUGUAGCUUCUUCUCUUCACCUCAAUCUUCAAGGAGAAUCUCUCUGAAAUCUCACAGAUCAAUGAAUACUGUCAAACUCUUAGGAGCCAUUACUAGUAAUAUGAAAUAUGAGAACAAACUAGGUCCUCAGAUGUACAGAUGUUACUCAACCUCCAACAGAGAGACAUUCAAAGCAGAAGCACCCAUUGGAGUUUACCAGAAUGGCAGGACUGCUUUUCAGCUGGAUGUAUUCGGAGUGAGAUUAGGAGAGUCUUAUAAUCGUCUAUCUAGGCAUGUUAACUUGUAUUUCAGGCAGAAACGGGUAUCAGUGAUGGAUUAUGAGCAGGAUGAAUCACUAACCAGACCACCGAGACGAGUUCAGAGAGACAGAUGCUCUGGAGAGAGCAUAGAGCAGGUUCAAGAAGCUUAUCCUGGACUACAGCUCUUCCACAUCAGCUCCUUAGCCAAUCGAUUUGGGGAAAGUUACAGCUAUGUGGCCAAUCACAUUAACACCGUGUUUUCACCAAAGCAAACUCACAUUAACGUAUCGCCAGAUGAAGGCUUCAGAAAGUCUAGAAUGAGUAUGGAAAGAGUAGUUAUGAGUAGUAAAAGUGUUAUUCAUGAGGAAGCUACCCAGAGAUUGAAACCACCGAUUGAUGACAAUAUAUGUAGUUCAUGGGAAGAAGGAUACCUUCACUUUGCCCGUCACAUCAAUCGAUACUUUGGAGCAAAAGUAACCGAUAGAGGACAUCAGAUGCCACAUACCAAGACAAACACCCAGAAGACUUCUGAUUCUAAAACAAAAGACCAUACUCCAAUUCUUCAUCCAAAAUCUCCAGGCUUGUUCCACAUGAGCAGCCUCACCACACGCUUUGGGGAAAACUACACUCAUAUGGCCAAACACAUCAACCAGUACUUCAAUGGUUCUGCAGCCUCAGAGAAUGACCAGCUAGAUGGAGAGCUGGAACAUUACAGACGUUCACCCAAGCUCAUCCAGAAUAAAUCAGUGUCCUUUCUUGAUUGUCUUUUGAAUCCCUCGACUAUACCUGGCUUUGUGGGCAGCUACCUGGGUAUGAGCUCUGGCCGGCGAAUUGACCAAACCAAAACAAUGACAAGAACAGCAGAGGAAAUGCUGGAUACAACAGUUUUGAGGAGGAGGAAAGCAGACGAGAUGACUAGAGUUCUACUGAACAAGCUGGAAAAAGCUACGGUAACAUCAAACAUCACUUCUUGCGUAGAGGAACUGAAUGCUCACCUUAUUCAGCACCCGGCAAGCAAAGCUGUGGUGUGGCAGGAAAAAGCAGCACUACUGCUCCUUAGCCAUCGACGCAUCUUUUGGAUGAAUGAAAAUCUUCAAGAAGCCAUUAGGGAAACUCUGGCUCUGAUUGGUUACGUGGACCCUGUCAAAGGAUGUGGGGUUAAAGUGCUUUCCAUUGAUGGAGGAGGAACCAAAGGGUUGGUUCCAUUGCAAGUGUUAAAAAAUCUAGAGGCUCGAACGGGAAAACAAGUGUAUCAGCUAUUUGACUACAUAUGUGGAGUCAGCACAGGAGCGGUUCUGGCUUUCUUGUUGGGUCUAUCUCGUAUCUCGUUAGAUGAAUGCGAAGAGAUGUAUCAUCGAUUUGGAACAGAUGUUUUUCGGCAAAACCCCCUUGUUGGUACAGUGAAAAUGGGCUGGACGCACUCUUACUACAACACUGAAACAUGGGAGAGGAUCUUAAGAGAAAAGAUGGGGGAAGACAUUUUAAUUAAAACUGCAAGAGAUGUGCUGAGCCCAAAGGUAUCUGCUGUAAGCGCUGUAGUGAACUGGGGGAAAAGCCCAAAAGCGUUUAUCUUCCGCAACUAUAACCAUGCUCCAGGAAGACUAAGCCGCUAUGCUGGAGGUUCAGGAUACCGGCUCUGGCAGGCUGUCCGGGCAUCAUCUGCUGCCCCAGGAUAUUUCCAAGAAUUCCCCCUCCACGGUGACAUACACCAGGAUGGUGGUCUAAUCAUCAAUAACCCUGUGCUCUGGCUGUCCAUGAAAGUCGUCUGCUGUGGCCCCAUCAGCCCUAUCAGUGUGUGCUGUCGCUGGGCACGGGACGCUAUGAUAACGCUAGAAGAGGACCUGCAACCUCUACCAGUCUGAGAGCCAAAAUCAGCAACUUGAUCUGUAGCGCCACCGAUACUGAGGGAGUGCAUACUCUACUGGAUGACCUCUUACCGCCCAAUGUGUAUUUCCGCUUUAACCCGAUGCUGAGUUCAAACGUGACACUUGAUGAGAGCAGACCUGAAGUGCUUCAGCAGUUACAGAAAGAUACACAGAUGUAUUUGGACCGGAAUCGAGACAAACUGGAGUGUCUGAGUGAAGUGCUGAUGACAGAGCGCACAGCAAUCGGGAAAACACGGGACUGGAUCAGUGAGAAAGCCUGGAAGCUGCAGCAGCGCUGGACCUGAGUGGAUAUUUCACUGUCAUGACAGAACAGCAGAUGAAUGUAUGCACUGGACUCAAUCAAAACAAAGAAUUAUGAACAAUUUAAUGACCAUUUUUACUCUAAUACAUUUAAAAAAAACAACAACUCACAAUUCCCUCUCUGUUUUGGCCCUCCGCCAGCACUGAAACAGCAUUUUUAGGCAACAAAAACAUAACCUUUUGGAAACUCUCUCCAAAGUGGAUGAAUUUGAAAAUUGCAUAAUUCUGUUUGCAUAAAAAUGCAAAAUUCUGUUUGAAUGUCUGCAUUUGAAAGGGAUAGUUCACCUGAAAAUGAAAAUUCUGCCAGCACUUACUCACCCUUGACUGAAUCCAUUUUUUUUUUUUUCAUUUUAGGGUGAACUGUCCUUUUAAUGUUGCAAUGUGGACUAUAAAAAAAAAAGACUUUCAAAAAAAAAAAUAGUACUUUUUUUUUAUUGCAUUUUUAAAAAAACGCUGAUGCAUUUUUAGCCAUGUGAUUAGCGAAAAUGCUGGACAGCUUGUACCACAGUUAUUUUGUUUGCUCUCCAUUUUCAGAGUCCUGUGUUACUUCACCUCACUGAUGGUCAAUUUAUAAAACUUUUCCUCAACAUAGCUACGAUAUUUCAAAGAGUCAGGCGGAAAUCUGAAAUGGUUCAAGUGUCUUAUGUCUUAACCAGCCUGAUCUCACGAGAAAACGUAAGUAUUUUACGUUUUGCCUGUUUAGUGGCUAAUGAUACGAUUUUAAAAAGGAGGCGUGGCACCUAACCCCACCCCUAACCCCAACCGUCAUUGGGGGAUAAGCAAAUCGUACUAAAUUGUACGAAUUAGAUUGUACAAAUUUAUACGAAUUAGCCACUGAAUGAAAAAGUUACGAAUUGCCGUGAGAUUGUGUUGGUCGUAACGCAUACAGAGUACUGCAGCGUUUUCUGUCAUUUCUGGAUGACCAGAUUUUGGGAAAUGAUUGAACGUGAUAGUGUGGACAUGGGAUGUUUUUAGGUGAAAAUGCCAUUUUCAAAUAGAUUCCUCCAAGUGUAGACAUUUAUAUUGACCUUAUUCUUCAAUGCAAAAGUGCGCUCGUUUUUGUGAUUGUUUUAGAACUUCUGAUUCAGCCAUGGGAGAAAUGACCAGGAAUAUUAAAACACAGAAAACAGUAAAACUUCCUGCUCUACAAACAAGUGAUUGCAUGAUUAUACAGAUAAAGCAAAGUCAUACAGUUUGCAACAUCAAGCAGCAAAACGAGCUGUUUUUAUCAUCUAAAAACGAAUGAAAGUGAAUGAGUCUCCAGCCAAAAAGAUUCAAAUGGCUGCGCCCGCUUGUAUGUGAAGAAUAAGGUAAAAAGGAUUAUGGAGGGCCUUGUUACAAAUCAAAAACACAGCCAUGUUAUAGUACAUGCACCAUCAACACCAUCAUGCAAAUGAAACACAAAACAUUGUUUUAUCCGUACAUUUACAUGGCAACAGGGGUUUGGGAGCCUGUACAUUUCUAAAAGAAAAUAAAAACUGUUAUUGUCUCUACAGAAAUGUGUAAAAACUUGUAAAAACCUUUCAAAAAACAGAAUCUGUUGUUUAAACAGACUGAAUGUAUUAAGCACUUCUGCAAUGAAACCACCAAAAGCUUGUAAAUGUGUUUGGAUGUGAAUAUGUAUUAUUACAAUGUAAUGUAUUUAUAUAUGAAUUCAUUUCUUGUAUUGGUAUGUCAUUUGUCAAGGUUAUGAAAUUAAAUAAAACAUGCACUUUAUGUGAUUUAUCCAAAAGCAC